rnacentral:lncRNA from 1 species
CUCUUUGUCUCAGCUGAUGGCUUCUCAUCUUUUUGUUCUUCAAUCAAAGGUUCUUUGUCCAUUUUCUCCACACCUUCAAUUUUAACAUCUUGCCCUCCAAGCGACCGCUCAUCCUCCCCUUCCAAGUAUUCACCAACAUCUUCUUCAUACCCCUUCUCUUUAAAACUUUCAUCUUUGUAAAGUUUUUCUUCCCUGAGCUCUUCAUGCACCUCUACGUGUUGCUCUUUCUUUCCAUCCUCCCCAAAUUCAGUUCUCAUUUCAACUUCUUUUGGAUCAGCUAUUUGCUUUUCCAACUCUUCUUCCGGAAGAAAUUCUCCACCAAACUCUGACUCUUCUUUUUCUGCUUUAUCCAAAAGCCCAGUUUCAAUCUCCAACUCCGGAGAUGAUGCUGGCAUUGGCAAGAAUCUUAUUCAUGAGCUUCUCAGUGCAGGCAUAACUAGCGACAACAACCCCAGCAGGGACUGAAACGGCGAAUCCAACAGCAGACACAACCACAAGGGGAGGAAGAACCACCGGUGCAGACGAGAUCACAACACCUGUAAUCAGAAUCGUUUUCCCUAAUUGCAGUCCUUUGCUCAAAAUCCAACUGGCCUUACUUUACAUUCUUCUUCUCCUGGAGAAGUACAGUAUCCUUUACCUCCCCCUCCUCUCCAGAAUCAUCCAUCCUACAUAUUUACCAUACUAACAUAUAUUAAACGUAACUUAAACAAAAUUCUUAACUUAAACGUAGGUACCUAAAUUUGUAAAAAUAUUAAUUAAGUACUUAUUCAGAGAAGAUAACUUUAAUACAACAAGGGUCUUCCAGAGAAGGGAAAAGAUUUACUAUUUCAACUCAUUCAUGCAGAAAUCCUAAACAAUGAGAAAGCAUCAAAGAAACAGAGAGACUGCAGAGAAGAAGAGCUAGCCCUUUUAUUGUUCUCAAGAACCACAAACAAAUGGAUGCAAGGAAGCGUCCAAAGCCAUUUGUUACGUUUAAAAAGCAAUGCUCUUUUUAUCAAUUGACAAAAAACCAAGCAAAAGAAUUUCUGGAAAAUAUUAAAAUCUAGCUGGAUGAACGAAACGAAGAAAAAGAACAAAACCAAUGAAAGGGCUCCAUUGCAAACGAAAAACUAACCAGAAAAGGCAUAAAGAAACAAUGAAACAGGGCGCAAAAAAAAAAAAAGAGUGAAUAUAGCAUUACCCGAUGAUGCCUAUUAUGCUCCUACCAGUUCAACCUGCGGCUGAUGAAGAAAGUAGAGAUGGUUUUAUGAGGGUUUGGGGGAUAAACUUUUAUACUCCUCCUAGAAGGGUAAAAGCUGAGAAGGGAGGAAUCACCUAUCAGCAAUGACACGCGGUGGAUAGAUGGAUGGAAUGGGCAGUUUGCUGUAGAGAUGAGGAGGAGGCAUGCGUCAAUUUAUGAGACGUCAGAAACUGCAUGCACAAUCACACCUUGCCAGUUGCGCCCAAAUGAAACCAAUCCUACAAUAAAAUAACACCCCAUAGAAUACAUAGCAAUCUAAACACAACCUUGUGAGAGUGAAAUUUCGCUGUGCCGCAGGAGGACCAUUUUACGCAUCUCAAGGUGGCUGCAGAGAGUCACUGCGCCAAAUUAUAGAAACCCCAUUAAUCUGGUAAAAAUAUAUAAAAUCUAGAGACACUUUUUGUUAUAUGGUUUAGCUAGAUGUCGUAAGCCUGCCUUUGACUAAGGGUGCAUUUGACUCGAGUCGAGUUUAAAUAAUGCACUACUUGAAAAAGACUUAAGAUAAAAUAAAUGUGCUCAAGUUCAUUGAGAUUUUAGAAGUCGAGUUUGAGUUCGAACUCAAUUUAGUUUAUCUUAAUUGAACUCGAACUCGAUCUUGAGUUUAAUAAAAUCUAAUCGAAUCAAAUUAAGUUCAAUUAAGCCUAUUCGAGUUUAAUCGAUUCCAUUCAGUUAAUCAAAUUCACGUAAUAAAAAUUAAUAUUUUACAUAUAAUUUUGAAUAAAAGAUAUUAUUGACAUUUUACAAUAAUAAAUAAAAAAAAAUAUUAUAAAAAGAUUAAUUAGAUUUGUUAAGCCUUCGAAUACAAAAUAUUAGAACUCAAACUCGACUCAUGAGUUCAAACGACUAACUCGAACUUGAGCUCAAGCUCUGUCAAAACGAGCUCAAGUCGACGACCUAUUGACCGAGUAGUUCGUGAGUUCGAGUUGAGCUACUUGAUUUAGCACUUGAUUUAGCAUCCCCUUGCGGCUUUUGCGUAAAUUGUAAAGUUUUUUUUUUUUUUUUAAUCUCGGGAUAAAAGCACUCAGCAAAUCCUAUGAAAGUAGCAACAUACUGUUUAGGAGUGUGAUUCUUUCCAUUGAGAAAGGCAAUUAUUCUUGCACUACGUUCAAAUUCUAAGCCUGAUGGGACCAAACUGCUGCAUGGCAAACAAUUUGCUCCAAGCUCUACGAUUGAUUAUUCAAGAUGAGAUUUUGUUUGAGCUAUUUUGAGUUCAAAUUUCCAUGGUCUGUAGGACUAGAUAAGUUGCAGGGCCCUUGUCAUUGAAAGCCAAUUUGAUUUUCUUUUUAGAAGCCAAUUUUUUAUGGGUAUUAGAGCAGAGUAGGAUAUUUGAUCUCAAUCACUGGAGUUUUACCUUUCAUCAUCCCUGUAUUUUUUCUUUCGUCAUAAUACACAUUUCUUUUACUGAAAUAAGUUCAACAGCUAUUAUUUACACUAGAAAAGGGUAAGCAAUUGCUUUGGGUUGUCCAAAUCCAUUCAAUGAACAUCAUCGUUGUGCCUUACGAAGUAUGAAAUAUCCAGAAGAAUACAGACUAAACGACUUUGGACUGUAAAUAUUAGCUUACCAACUGAAAAGAUGAGAGAUCUCAAUCGGCCAACUGGGAAAUUAGAUAUGAUUCUGCUUAUACCAUAUUAGCUUUCCCUUAUUCUAGCACUAAUACUCCCACUCAAGUUCUUGGUAAUCAAGAACCAAUAUUGUUUUUAAAGAAAUAAACAACAACAACAACGUAAUUAUAGUACUGUUAUCAAAUGGCGAGGUAAACAAUGGCUAUUAUGACGCAAUCUAAUCGCCAUAAGCAGCAAUGUUGUCCAUUAUCUCAGCAACAGUCUCUUUAGACUCCCUCAGCAACCUGAUGCUUCCAUUCAAUCUGUCACGUUUAUCAGCCAACAGAUGGAGAUUCCUCCAACAUCCGCUCCAAUCCACCCCCGUGAGGUCCCAUUAACUCAUUCACCAUUUCGGUUUCCAAGUCUUUGUUCACCAGAUUUUGGCUGCUGAAGAGUAAAUGCAAAGCCAUGCUAUCAUCAACAACUCCUCAGGACAAUCUUCCAAUAAGCAGUCAUCCUCAUUUCAGAUCAAAAGCUUGUUGUGCAACGACCAGAUGAUUUCUCAGAUGCCCGACUUCAACCACACCAAUUCCAUCAAUCUCUAGAGUGGUUGAUUUCUUACGAUCAUUCAUAAUGAUCAUGAACAUGUCCUGGCUUUUCAUCAAAUCAUGCCAGGUUGCAGCGUACUCAGGAUUGCAAGUAUAAUCAGUGAGUUUUUCCAUUUCGAUAAUCUGCAAUACCCAAUCAACUGACUGCUCCCUUUCUUGGAAACAAGACUUUGGGCAGCUCUUCUGAUUGAAGGUUGAAGUUGUGGGUAGUUUUCAGAGUGCGUCAUCAAGACAGGAACUAACACCCUUGUAAGUACUCCCAAAACUUGUUCACAAACUCAUCUGGUGUAGCAGAAACGGCCCUGACCUUUUUUGCAGUGAGAUGAGAAAAACACUACGAGGAAGGAAAUUAGGUAAGUUUAUACCUUUAGCUUCCUCCAGGAUGCUAAUCUCUUCCACCAAGAAGGUCUGCUUUUGUUCACUUUGGAUAGAGAUGGACUGCAAAUUCUCAGAGUAAGCGCUCAGCAUCUCUGCCAGUCUAGCAGUACAAUGCAUUUCCUUUUCAUCUGGAUACUCAUCGAAUUCCCUCUGAUAAAUAUUUUCCUCAGGGACUCUUUGGCAGAAGAUAUGAUACGCAUAAAAGCAGUGACUGCUUCAGGAACCGAUUUCAACUGUAGUGGCAACUUGUUCAGCUCUGCAACACUUGCAGUUAGCUUGUCAUUGAUCUUUCUCACAAUAUCUGGCAAGCAUUUUGAAAUUAUGGUUGCCUGAAUUUGCACCAGUUUCUGGGCUAAAACAGGAAUGCCAACGAUAGACUUGUGGAUCUUGGACAGCAACGGAUGUGUUUCAAAAAGCAUAGCUUCUACAGCUCGAGCUUCCUCGUAUGAUUCAUCGCCAAUUCGAUUUCUCACACAGACGUAUCAAGUCCAAUAUUCACAUCAUCAGCCGUUACCUUCUCGAGCAAGCCUUCAGGGGAUUUGUCGGCCUUUGUGACAACUGCCAGAGUUCUUUCGCCUGUUUUGUCGACUUUUUGGGACAUCCGAAUUGAUUCACAAGUCGAAAAAUCAACAGUAGCUGAUAAAACAUUGAGUAUUAUGCUUUCUUCUGGCUUGAUAUACUCCAUGAUAAUUGCCGAUAUUUGCUCGUAGAUGUCUUCCGGCUGCCCAUGAACUGGAACUCUAGUAAUCCCAGGUAAAUCUACCAUAGUAAGAUCAGGGACACCAUUUUUUUUAACAGUCAAAGUCAAGGGAACAUUUGAUAUUCCCUUACUUUUGCCAGCAAUCUCAUCAGUUGCAACCCUGAUGGCCUCAGCAAUAUGGACCUCAUCGGUUGGAACAAUUGUUCCGUUGAACUCCAAGCUCAGCUCUGGCACGGGACUGGGAUGACUUUGCAGCCUCAUAAUCAAGGAACCCUUGUGCAUAUCCCUUGUCCCCUAGGCAGGCUAAUUCCAGCCAAGGACUCUAGAACGCUGGACUUACCUGAAGAUUGAUCUCCAACAACAACAAUUGUUGGAAGCUGGAUUCCUUCUUGCAUGACUUUAAGGUUUCGUAGCCUGUCUACGCAGUCCAGUAAUGGCCUAAUGCGUUCAUUAUAGGAUGAUACGAUGGGGGCUUGGAUUGCUAGUGGAUCUAUAUGAUCAUGAGCAGCUUCAAUGAGGGCUUUGGUGAUUUCUUCAGAAACAAAAUCGGAGUCAUUGAUUACUGCACCCAUGUUUCUUGUGGCCGUUGGUAUUCAGAGUUUCUACUAUAAUGUCGCAGGUAAGGAUAUCGGGAACUCGGGAGGGAGAAAGGUGAUGAUAGAGCAAGAGAUUUUCAGGUUUGGUGACAGCAAAUGUGGAUUUGUGGAUGAAUUUAUAGGUGAUUUCUGAUCUGAUGUUGAUCUCAGCACUCUCUCUUUUCUCGCAUACUUCUUUUUCUUUUCCUUUUGGUACUGCUUUUGUUGGGACAACAGCAUAGUUGCACGAAAUUUACUUGCCCUGCACUAAUGCUAGAAAUUGGAUAUGAACAAACACAAACAUUUCAUUCUGCUUUUCCUCUGAAAACUAAUCGUGUUCUAUGCUGUAAUUAUUUUGCAAAGUUUGCAAAACGAUUGAUAAAAUUUUUAGAGUACUAAUGGCAACACGCUGUAUAAUUGUGUAAAUUGGUUUUUAUUCGGCAACUGUACAUUAAACAAAUUCUUGUCUUUAAUUUCUAGGGCUAAAUGCAAACAAGAGGAUGCAUAGAAUCAUAUACAAUCUUGCAUAGAACAAUAAUUGCAUGCAUAUAUUAUAGGUAAGCCUUUAGAUUUGUUCCACUCAAAUAUUUUAUAUGUGAUCCUUCUAGUUACUUAAUUAGAGGGCAUAGAUUCUUGUGCUAUCUUUUGAAGUGGUUCGAUUACAAAAUGCAAAUGGCUAGCUCAUGGUCCUUGAUUUACAAAGUGGAAUCUGACGCUUGACUUCCUUUUCUCCUGUCCCUUGUCAUCAGAAAAGCAAAUCCAUCGCUCAAGAAGGAAAAUUAGCUAGAACCCUUCAAUGAUCGUCAAUUAAUUAGUGUUUAAAGAUGUAAUUACUAGUUAUUACAUCAGAAUCAUAUUAUCCGAAGACUUCCAAGGUAAAAUUGCUUAUUUUACUUCAAGUUUAGGUCAUCCUCGUGCUUCACCAUUACGCAAGGGAUCCUCUGCAUCAUGGGAUCAUCCACUAAUGAAGUGUACUGUUGUUUGUUUUGGUGGAAACACAGAAGUGGGAUCAAUUUGUCUGAUCCAUCUCCUUCUUUCAGAACAGAAGCAGGAUCAAUAGCUUAAGAAUUAAGAAAACCCACGACGAAGGAAAGAUUUCGAUCGUACAUAGGUUGGUAAACAUGGCUGGCACGAAAAAGCGAUACAGUAUAUAAAAUUUGACUUCAAAAGCUUGCCCCGCUCUUUCGCCCCACCAUCCAAGGUAGCUAUAACACCUUUUAGGGGGGAAAUUAAUGACAGAAGGAAAAGAUGAAAGGAAAAUUGAACUUCCAAAUGCAACUAUUGUUAAGGGUUAGAGGCACUAAGCACCCUAACUUUGGAGAUAUUUUCACAUUUUUCUUUAACGUUAUUUUUGUUGUAUGUGCCCCUUCUAUUAAGUCACGUCAACUUUUAUCAUUAUUAAAAGGAAAAAGGUCAAAAGUUUCAAUCUUGCCCUUAUCUCCAUUUCCCUUCAUUUUUCUUUUACUUGUCUAAGUUUCUCAUUUCA